UACGGAGGGUGCAAACGUUGUCCGGAAUCACUGGGCGUAAAGCGCAUGUAGGUGGUUUGGUAAGUUCGUGAUUAAAGACCGUCGCUUAACGGCGGGAAUGUUGCGAAAACUACCUUACUAGAGGAUAGCAGGGGUGCGUGGAACUUUGAGUGUAGGAGUGAUAUCCGUAGAUAUUCAAAGGAACACCAAUGGCGAAGGCAGCGCACUGGGCUAUAUCUGACACUAAGAUGCGAAAGUGUGGGGAGCGAACGGG
rnacentral:rRNA from 1 species